CCAUAAACUUAUUUAAUGAACAAUUCUUAUGUACAUAUAUAUCUCAUUGACAUAUAUUAUAAGGAUUUAUUUUUAUUUUUAUUGCUCUUUUUUUUUGAAGGGUUCAGCUUACAAGAUCCUCCUCAAUUAAAGUGUUGAUGUCUUGUUUGAAACACAGGCUGGCCGGCCACACACACCUGCUGCUGCACUCCAUGGCCACAGCUGUUUAGCAGAGGAAUCCCAGUGACACCCCGGGUCCCAGAGAAAAGCCUGCCCUGCCUUCCAGUUCCAGUGCAUGAGGCAUGAAGCCGACUGUUCAGGAAGUCAAGACUUAUUUGUGAAACGAAAGGCAGUGGACCCCUGUGUUGCUGCUGGUGGGGAGCCCAGUAGGUGGGAUGCUAGUCCAGCCCCUUUGGCAGUGGCGGAUUCUCCAGAUGGACUUAGUCACCUGAUGCUUGGCAAGACUCGGCCCCAGCUACCCCAGUGGGAGGGGGUUGUGGACAAUGGAGACACUCAGAAUGAUUGACCAAAAUGGUUUUGAAACCUCUAGACCAAGGACCAUUAAUCUGAAAAUGGCUCUGACUCUAUUUGAUUUCAAUAGAAAGAAACGGCUCCUUUUGAAAUGGAUAGUGACAGCCAAGCUCAGAGAUAACAGACUGGCAAUGACAAGACUCUACUUUUUAAAACAAACAACAGAAAACCUUCCCUAGCUGUGUUUGGACAGUUUCACUCUGUUGAUUUUUAAACCAUCAUGAGAGUUGAUCACAUUCACUUCCCCACCUGCCCUCCCUCCAUUGGCGCCCAGACCUGCCACCCAACUUCCUGGAAGGUCAGAGGGAUCCCGACCAGGAGAGAGGAUACUGGAGCAUGGGGGAAAGCAGGGAGAGGGUGCACUGGGUGCAGAGAAACCAGGGGGACCCGAAGGGGACACAAGCUAGGCAGUCCCCACAGGCCCUGCGCCCUUCACCCCUUCCACAUGCUAGGGAAAGAAACCAUUGUGUGAACAGAGGCAAUACUGUAUGAAGGGAGGAAAGGCGACGAAAAAGAAUUUUACAUGGACCUUAGAGAGGAAAGGAGGAAAGGAAUCUGGUGUGUGUAUGUGUAUGUGUGUGUGUGUGUGUGUUCGUGUACAUGCACAGGUACACGUGUUUUAGCCCUAGACACGUGGCCUAUCAGAAGGACAUGAGACAAGGUCAGGAAUGAACUCCCCUUUGAAUCACCCUUAAGCAGGCAGACGAAUUAGGACUGAUUUAUGAAUGUAUUUCCACAAUUUACUUGAAAAUUUGUAAUGUCUGUGCAGCCUGGCAAGAAAAAAAAAAGGCGAGGCACUGUGAAGGAAUGCUUCUGCUCCACUUCAUUGUAAAAUUAUCCCAUGCUACCUGCUCUAAUCCCCUGAAAACAAAUUAAAUCCUCACUAAGCUGACUUUAAAUCAAUAGUUUCAUUUAAGAAUAGUGUGACUUAAUAAAAAUAAAAAACUAACUGGUCCAGCCAAUUUAAGAGGGAAAUAAAUCAUUGCCCAAAGAAAAAUAGCAGAUUUGACUUGUAUAUGGGCCCUGGCUCUGUUUAGAAGGGAGAGGUGGUGUCUAAAUUAACUCUGGCUGGGGAAGAAGCUCAUAGACCCAUUCAGAAACUCACUUUACCAUGCACAUCCCAGGAAUAAGGAGGCCAGCCACCCCCAAAAUGGGAAACAGCAUCUCAGUCUAUAUUUUGAAAAAUGUAACCACUAAAAAAUAGAAGAUGGCAUCCUCGGAAGCAUCCUGGCAACCCUGAGACUGCAGCGCUCACAUGUGAAGACCAAGAAACCCAUGUCUGGUCAUGGCAGAAGCCACAAGGUUCCUCUUGAAGAUGCACUGGUUAAGGCAACAGUGUCCUCAACAAGCCGGGACAAAGGCAAAAUUAGGUGUGCUGGAUAAACAUCAGUAAUUAUAAUAGGUGCACAAUCUAUGUGCAAUUAUUCUUUGGAAUAAAUCUAAGUGUGGGGUAGACAUAUUUUUGGCAGUAUACAAAGGCCUGACUACCAUUUUAUGAAUAAAGAAAGUCAUCUAGAACAAAAGAGUAAGACUCGACACAAUAGGGCAAGUAGUUACAGAGAAAAGUCUGAAAUCCCAUAAUUCUAAACUAGCACUUUAUCCCAUUUAGCAGAGUACUUCUUUACUAAUCAUAUAAAUUAGAAAAAUGCUUAGGACCCGACGCUUGCUUACUUAAUUCAUUAUGUAUUGGGGAUAUAUAAACAUUAAAGUGAGUGCCUUCAAAACACGACACAUCAAUAUUAUCAGUGUCACUAUUGCCACUAACAUAUUUUAAACAUUUAAUAAUUAUACAACGUCAAGUCAGUUACUUACUGACGUUCAUUGCAAUCGAGCACUUUUAUUUAUCAUUUUGACAAUAACAAAUAAUAAAACAUAUUCCUUCUAGUAAAAGAUUUAAGCCUAAAGAAGCCAGGCAAGACCAUUUAGUUCCUUACCAUAGUCCCUCUCUCAGAGACUACAUUAAUUUUCAUUUGUUGGCCAGAAAAAUACCUGGCCAAAUACCUAGAGAAAUCAGUGUAUGAAGAUGGCACAGUUUGGUGGAAACACUCUGGCUUAGACUCAGGCUCUGGAGGCUCAAGUCAUGCCCCCACAUUUAGAAUCCUGUAUUGUUUACCUAGUUAUUUGACAUUCUGGCCUUAGUUUUGUCAUCUGUAAGAUGGAGGCAAUAAUACCUGCACAGUUUAUGGAGUUAUUAGGUGGCCCCAAGCAGGCGAUGGAGGGUACUUUGCAAGGUGAUACACAAAAGUGAGAAAUGACCGGGCCUCCCGUCUGUCCAAGGACAAGCAUGGUAAUUAAUUCUAACUUAGAAAACACUGGCUUCCUAUACAUUCUCCCAAUGUAACCAUUCCAUGGAUGAUGGCUCCAGGUAGGACCCUUGCAAAAUGUGGUAACUAAAGAGUUUCUUAUUGUAGAGCUAAGUAAGGGACAGGCACAGCUAUGCCCAGUUUAUGUCAAGCCCAUGGUUCAGAACGUUGGGUGGCGGGCACAGCUAUGCCCACUUCAAUGUUGGGUGGUGGUAGCAAGGCAUCUGGAAGAAAUUAUUCCAAACUUGGCUGAACCUGAGCAGUUGGUGAGAUGAAUUAAUGGCUAUUUCAUGGUGUCAGUCUUGGUCCUGCUGCAAGCAAGUGACCUGACAACUACAAACUAACAACGUAUUUGUUUCUAUUUGUAGUAAAUUAGGAGUGUUUUCCUUUUCUGGAAGGUCAACCCGUUGUUUUCAAUACCCACUCAAGUGAAAACUUUCACUACUAUGAAGCAAUUCCACAGUGGCCGCUCCUUGGAAAGCAGUUUAAAAUCAUUUUGUGAAUGACUUCUCUCACUUUCUCUGGGAGGGAGGCGGGCAUUUUAUAAAUGAAAACGCUAACCAUGAGCCAGAGGCCUGGCCAGACUACUGGUAAACGUGAUCGCACAACCAAAGAACAGCUCACCACCCCUUACUGCGAUUCCCAAACUUGCAGCUUCCGGCAGGGUCUGCUGUGUGCACGGAGCACCCGUCAGCCUGGAGCAGACCUGAGACGCUGGCACAAGAACUGUCAUCUGGAGAAGCGUCACCUCCUGUCCGGCUGAGGUUCCACGGGGCUUCUGCCAGAGACCUGAAUAAAUGUUAUAGAACAGCCCAAUCUCACUGUCCUCCUUUGUCUUCCAGAAGCCCUUGCCCUGUCCUGAGCUUACUGACAUGGCCAAAAGACUGAAAAUGCUAACAAGACAGGGAGCCCCCCAUCUGCAAAUCCUGUUCUUACCCAUCAAGCUAAGCCAGCACCUGUACUUGUUCCAGGUUGAGCCCAACAGCAGCCUCAUAUCCUAAGGCACAGCUCGCUGAGUUCUGAGCCCUCCCAAGGGAAGGUCUUAACCCUAGCUCAUCCAUUUCCAAAGCUGAGGCCAUGAGCCAAGUGUCCCAGGAUGCUCUCCACUCUGCCCACAGAGCGAGGUCGCUGGUCUCUGAAGCAAGUCCCAGGUUUCCCACACUUCCCCCAUGAGAAGAAUUCUGGGGUGCUUGUUAAACAUCCAGCUCCCCAGGUAUGUACCCUGAAGAUUCUGUUUGAGUUGGUCUUGAGUAGGACACAGGAACCGGUGUGUUUAAUAGGCACCCAGGGGAUAACAAUCAAAUGUGACUCAAAGCCAGCGCGGUAACCUUGGCUCAGAAACAAGCAAAUCUGGCCAGGCGCAGUAGCUCACACCUGUAAUCCCAGCACUUUGGGGGACUGAGGUGGGCGGAUUACUUGAGGUCAGGAGUUCG
rnacentral:lncRNA from 10 species